rnacentral:rRNA from 1 species
CCGGCACGGGUGAGUAACACGUAUCCAACCUGCCGUCUACUCUUGGACAGCCUUCUGAAAGGAAGAUUAAUACAAGAUGGCAUCAUGAGUUCACAUGUUCACAUGAUUAAAGGUAUUCCGGUAGACGAUGGGGAUGCGUUCCAUUAGAUAGUAGGCGGGGUAACGGCCCACCUAGUCUUCGAUGGAUAGGGGUUCCGAGAGGAAGGUCCCCCACAUUGGAACUGAGACACGGUCCAA